UACAGAGGGUGCGAGCGUUGUUCGGAAUUACUGGGCGUAAAGCGCGCGCAGGCGGCUUUUUAAGUCUGACGGUGAAAUGCCGGGGCUCAACCCCGUGCCCGCCGCGGAUACUGGGAAGCUGGAGACAUGUAGAGGCAAGCGGAAUUCCGGGUGUAGCGGUGGAAUGCGUAGAGAUCCGGAAGAACACCGGAGGCGAAGGCGGCUUGCUGGGCAUGGUCUGACGCUGAGGCGCGACAGCGUGGGGAGCAACAGG
rnacentral:rRNA from 1 species